AAAAUACAUGUUAAUUUAAUUCCUGUUCAGGAUAGUGCUAGGGAAUACACUUAGUUUGACACCUCUGCUACUUUAAUGUGCUGCUUUGUGUAUGUGUGUCUUUUUGAGUGAGGCUGAGAAAAUCCCACUUUUUGGUUCAUAACUGGAAGACUCACAACCUAAGAUUGUUUCCUUUGCUUCCUGUCAUGAACUUCCACCACUAGUUCUGCAUAAACUCCUGCCUGCUGUGAAACAGCAUCUGAGUCUUGUGCCAGGAGGGGACCAUGGUCUCAGAUAAAUGACACCAGGCUGCGGUUCUGCACACAGAAACACUUAAUGGUGUUCAGUCAAUGCAAAGUCAUUUAUUAAGCUGUGGUGCCUGGAUCCAGGCAGCUGAACCCUGUGACUCAGCAGGGAAUGAAGGGCAUUGAAAAACAUCUAUUAGGUCAUCCAACCUGCUCCUCAGAAGCCAAGUAAGGAUUAUUCCCUCUACUCUUUUCUGGUAUUGUUCUCCUGCCGUGAUUCUUUGUGUCGGUUCUUUCUCCUCCAGACAUUGUUGUUUUGCUAAUCCUGCUUUAUGAUACACUGAGAAUCAGCUCAGAGGCUGCUGAAUCAUUCUACUAUGAUGCUAUUUGACCAACUUCCAAUUCGGAGCACUAAUAGAAAAGAUUUCUUUCUCCCCCCUGCAAACAAAACAAAAAUCCCCAAACUGAAGGAAUGGACAGGCUCCAGUAGCACUCAAUAAACAGAAUUUAGAAUUAUUGGAGCAUUUAAUUUUUUAUAAGCCUUGAAUUCAGAAGUGCAUUGGGGUUCAAGGGCAUAUGUGCUGAAGAGACAAUUGAAAAUUAUUGGCGCACUUUCCUUGGAAAGCACUUGGUAAGCAGCUCAUAGUGGCAUGAGGGAAAGCAAUGUGUCCAGUUCUUUACAUAUGCUCAAGAACCUUUUGAUUUUUGUUUUGUUUCCUUAUUGGCGGCACUACCAGAAGCUGUCAUACACUCUGAGCUUAAUUUAAAGGAAUCAUUCCAAACUCAUAAAAGAUACAUUUAGGAAGUCAUCUGUAGCUUUUUUAACUCCUAGUGCCAAAUUUCCCCUUUCCAAACAUCUCCAUGUUCCAAACCAUCACCAUAAUGCGGGGGGUGGGAAGGAGAAAAAUUGCAAUUCACAGUUGGGAAGGUUAUGAACAGGAAAGCAAUGCUAUAAAUGAAGUGCUAGCAUGAGGCUGGCGGAUGCUCCUGCAGCCCCUUUAAGGGGCUGAUUACAUUUCUCUUCCAGCUGACACCGCUACUUCUUCCCACCUGCUCAUCAUCACCUAUUGGAAUCUUUGUCCUCCUCCCAUCUGCCUGAUGGUUGCUGAUAUGAUCCUUCCCCACCGUUUCAGCUGCAGUUGUAAAGCUUUUGCUAAUUGGACCCAUUUAUUUGAAAUGCACCAGCAGUUUGGAGGGAUUUCCACUGAGUGUGCUGACAACCAGCCAGGAGCAGGCUGGGGCCUGUAAUUAAGAGCUGCCCCUGCUGUAGCUGGAAAAGGUGGCAAAAUAGCACACUCAGCAUAGCAUUUCUCCAAUAUUAGACCAGCAACUCUGUCCUCAGAGCCAUUUCAUCACUUUCAAAUGAACUCAAGACUGGAUCAAAGAUUUAGGAUGUGAUUCUGUGAAGUAUUGAAGUCUCUGGGUUUGUCUUCCAUACAGUCAGCUCAGAGAUGGGACCACCCAAUUUUAGAACAGUGUUCCUUAUUUCUCCCAUUCCUUGAUUUAGGAUCAGAGGGAGAAUCCAAAAUAGUGAUAGGAUAUGUAAAGUUAUAUGAACAUCUAUAAAGAACUAGCAGCCUCCUGCCUGUCCAGCUUUGCCUGUCACUGCAGGGAGUCUCAGCUGUUGGCGGAGUCUGCCCUGAAGCAGAUUAGGGAAAGCUCACACCAGCUGUUUUGGAGGCUGAUGUACAAAAAUUAUCAUCUCCAGCUAAGGGACAGUAAUGAGCUGAUGGGGAUCUUUGGGCAUGUUGCUGCACAAGCCUUCAUGGAGAUUGCAGGAGCUUGGCUUUGCUGUGGAAGUAUGUGUAUUCAUUUGUUUUUCCUAAGGAUGAUCUCUGAUAAAGAUGUUUUUGUGCAGCAAAUUUCCCUGCAGUUGCACUGGCUGUUACUCAGAGUGUUUUUCCCCUUAGUAGGUUGCAAGUGUGGCCAGUGUUGUUUCCAGCUUUGCAUGAGAUAAGCAUAAAAAGUGAGCUUUCAAACUCACCAGAACAACUUCUUGACUAUGGGGUCCUUAAAUUUACCUGUUCUGUGUGAGUCUGUCAAACACCUUUAGGUAACAAGCUGCUCAUUGCAGCUCAAUGAGUUUGCAUCUCUCUUUUCUUUCCCCUUCCUUUCCCCACAAUUCCAGAAGAUGAUUUUUGGAAGAUUCCAGAAGAUGAGCCCUGGGAGGUCUUCAUGGUAUGGGCUUGGAUGCCCCUGCUGCAUGCUGUCAGCGCCGCCUGGGAGACAGGAGCCUGGCCAGGAGCAGGAGCUAGUUCCUCCCUGGAGACCCAAGUGGGGCUGAGCAAGGUGGUCAACAAGGAAUUAAACAAGUUGUUUCUUUGUGAGCGCUGAAUGAAGGAGCUGCAGCAUCCUCUGAAGGUCUUCCCAUAAUGUGUUUUACUAGCAGAUCAACAUUAACUUGCCUCUACUACCUGUAGAUCAGAAGAGUGCCAGGAUGCAGAGCAGACACACUCCAGGCUCCCACGGUUGGCUGAUCAACUCUCUUCAUUUUUAAUGAAGUUUUUAGCAUGUAUCCUGCAGAGCUCAGACAGAAUUGGUCUAAAUUUAGGCCAAAACUAAGGACCUGUGAGCUGUAAUCAACAAGAUAAAUGGAAAAACUUCCCCCCAGAACUGCUAAAACACUGGUUUACGGCUUAAUUAAAGUUUUAAUAUGCUUACAGAAACUAAAA